AGGACGAACGCUGGCGGCGUGCUUAACACAUGCAAGUGGAGCGACGAACCGGACUUCGGUCCGGGGCAGAGCCGCGAACGGGUGAGUAACACGUGGGUUAUCUGCCCAGUUGACAGGGACAACCCGGGGAAACCCGGGCUAAUACCUGAUGUGCCCCUCGGGGGAAAGGAAGCUUCGGCCUCCGCAACUGGAUGAGCCCGCGGCCCAUUAGCUUGUUGGUGGGUAAUGGCCCACCAAGGCUGCGAUGGGUAGCUGGUCUGAGAGGACGAUCAGCCACACUGGGACUGAGACACGGCCCAGACUCCUACGGGAGGCAGCAGUGGGGAAUCUUGCGCAAUGCGCGAAAGCGUGACGCAGCAACGCCGCGUGAGGGAAGACGGCCUUCGGUUCGUAAACCUCUUUCAGUUGGGACGAAGGCAACGGUGAUAGCCGGCUGCUCGACGUACCUUCAGAAGAACGCCCGACUAACUACGUGCCAGCAGCCGC
rnacentral:rRNA from 1 species